rnacentral:sRNA from 1 species
GUUUUUAUAUAAUUCACUGUCUCCGGCGCUGAUGUAGCAGUUGCUCGCCGGCGUCGAACACAGUCUUCUCUUUGUUGUUCCGCUCUUCUCCCAAAAAAUCAAAACAAGUCUAGUCUCAAUCUUUUCAAGCCUCUAGUCUGUCAUCUUCGUCUCCUUCCAUCUUUAAUCUCGCUGUCGCGUCUUGCCAAUUGUAGAUCUGUUAGAAUCUUUUCUCUGAAGAUCUUUGGCUCAGCGUACCGGGCCGACGUACUUUGCCUCAUUUCUGGGAGAACCAACAGCUACUUCGUUACCGGCUCAUUUUUUUCCGUUUCUUCCCUAGCCACGCGUUUCAUCUUUUCUGGUUAAAGCCGGUGGUUGUUGUUUCACCGACCUUCCUUUCGGUGAUCUCUGCCAUCUAUUGAUCUCAAUGGUUAAUGAUUUGUUCGCCUCUGUCACCCGCCGCCGUUGCAUGUUCUCGACCUCGUUUGUAUUAGGUCAGAUCCCUACUAUACAACUUUGGAAGAAGACUUUAGUUUGGGCAUGGCCCAUCUUGGGACCUUUUGGGUGGUGUAGAGGCCCGUUAAGUUUUUUGGGCUGCUUUCUUUUGGCCUGCCCUAAUGUUUUGCAAUGCUCAUUAUUUGCACCCAUCACUAUCUUGGGAGACCUUCGUCUCUCCCUUUGCUACAUGUUAUCUGCCGCCUGUUUCGGCACUCAACGGUUCAUCGGAUACUUCUCCGGGUUCCAUCUGCUUAUACCGGAUACUUCUUCGGCAAGCCCAUUUUGCUUCCGAUCGAGAACCACAUAUGUUGGUUUGGAACCCGUCAAUCUUCGGCGAAGUUUGCUCAAUAUGGAAUGAUAAGGUACACUAAGUGUAUGUUUUUUUUUAUUUGUGGUAUAUGUUUUUUUUU